GGAACGGGCAGGACCGAAAGGGAUUUGGCCGCGCAGAAGUACUUGAAACUUUCGGGAAUAGAAGACAGAGUCAUGGGGAAUUACCCGUCAUUACAGAGUCAAUAUAUCACUGUUCUGCGAUCAUUAUUACAGAGCUCAGGGGUAAAAGUGAAGGAUGAGGCUUUUAAAAAAUUGUUAAAAGUAAUUCAGCAGCACUGUUACUGGUUUCACCCAGAAGGAAAACUGCAGUUGAAUCUUAAGUUGUGGAAACAAGUUGGAAAGUCAUUAAGGCGGGCUCCUCCACAGGGAAAUGCUAUAGAGGCUGAAGUAUGGGCUAUUUUUAAUUUAGUAACGUUAGCUUUACAGCCUUUUCAGUCUGAUUCUGAAGAUUAUGAAAAAAUUCCUUUGAGGUUGAUCUUUUACAACAAUGGGGGGCUACAGUUACUAUACCUUCUUUACAGAAAGGCCAUAGACAAGUGAUUUUUCAAGCUGGUGCUGGCACCAAUGUUAAGGACCAAAAUUUAUAAAGGGGGCCACUCCAGAGCACUUCGCCCUACCAUUAAAAUGGAAAACAACUAAACCAGUAUGGGUAGAGCAGUGGCCCCUAACAAGAGAAAAGUUAGAAGCGCUUCAACUCACUAUUAAAGAACAGAUACAACUAAGGCAUAUAGAAACUAGCUCUAGUCCAUGGAAUUCCCCUGUCUUUGUUAUAAAGAAAAAAUCAGGUAAAUAGAGGAUGCUUACUGAUUUAAGACAGAUUAAUGAGAUUAUUGAGCCUAUGGGAACUUUACAACCUGGAAUUCCAAAUCCAGCAUUAAUUCCUAAAAAUUGGCAUCUAGUGAUUAUUGAUUUGAAAGACUGUUUUUAUACAAUCCCUUUACAACCU